AAAAUAUUUCAACUCUGAUCAAAUACUUUUGUAAGCACAUAGAAUCUGAAAAUCGAUCUGUAUAUGAAUCGACUGUGUCUGACAUGAUAUAGAAUUAUAGCUUUUCAUUUCCUUGCGAACAACACAAGGAUGAAAUUGUGUCAUAUAUCAUGCACUAAUCUAUAACGAUGAGAAUGCGACAAUGGGCAAAAAUUCAUACACGGGAUAUUUUAAAGCAGAGCCGUGAAAAGAGAAAAUUAUCAAGGUUGAUGAGUACGUAGUUUUUAACAGGAAAUUCGUAACGUUGCUG